UUAAGUUAUUAAGGGCGCACGGUGGAUGCCUUGGCACUAGAAGCCGAUGAAGGACGUUACUAACGACGAUAUGCUUUGGGGAGCUGUAAGUAAGCUUUGAUCCAGAGAUUUCCGAAUGGGGAAACCCAGCAUGAGUUAUGUCAUGUUAUCGAUAUGUGAAUACAUAGCAUAUCAGAAGGCACACCCGGAGAACUGAAACAUCUUAGUACCCGGAGGAAGAGAAAGAAAAUUCGAUUCCCUUAGUAGCGGCGAGCGAAACGGGAAGAGCCCAAACCAACAAGCUUGCUUGUUGGGGUUGUAGGACACUCUAUACGGAGUUACAAAGGACGACAUUAGACGAAUCAUCUGGAAAGAUGAAUCAAAGAAGGUAAUAAUCCUGUAGUCGAAAAUGUUGUCUCUCUUGAGUGGAUCCUGAGUACGACGGAGCACGUGAAAUUCCGUCGGAAUCUGGGAGGACCAUCUCCUAAGGCUAAAUACUCUCUAGUGACCGAUAGUGAACCAGUACCGUGAGGGAAAGGUGAAAAGCACCCCGGAAGGGGAGUGAAAUAGAACCUGAAACCGUGUGCUUACAAGUAGUCAGAGCCCGUUAAUGGGUGAUGGCGUGCCUUUUGUAGAAUGAACCGGCGAGUUACGAUUUGAUGCAAGGUUAAGCAGUAAAUGUGGAGCCGUAGCGAAAGCGAGUCUGAAUAGGGCGUUUAGUAUUUGGUCGUAGACCCGAAACCAGGUGAUCUACCCUUGGUCAGGUUGAAGUUCAGGUAACACUGAAUGGAGGACCGAACCGACUUACGUUGAAAAGUGAGCGGAUGAACUGAGGGUAGCGGAGAAAUUCCAAUCGAACCUGGAGAUAGCUGGUUCUCUCCGAAAUAGCUUUAGGGCUAGCCUCAAGUGAUGAUUAUUGGAGGUAGAGCACUGUUUGGACGAGGGGCCCCUCUCGGGUUACCGAAUUCAGACAAACUCCGAAUGCCAAUUAAUUUAACUUGGGAGUCAGAACAUGGGUGAUAAGGUCCGUGUUCGAAAGGGAAACAGCCCAGACCACCAGCUAAGGUCCCAAAAUAUAUGUUAAGUGGAAAAGGAUGUGGCGUUGCCCAGACAACUAGGAUGUUGGCUUAGAAGCAGCCAUCAUUUAAAGAGUGCGUAAUAGCUCACUAGUCGAGUGACACUGCGCCGAAAAUGUACCGGGGCUAAACAUAUUACCGAAGCUGUGGAUUGUCCUUUGGACAAUGGUAGGAGAGCGUUCUAAGGGCGUUGAAGCAUGAUCGUAAGGACAUGUGGAGCGCUUAGAAGUGAGAAUGCCGGUGUGAGUAGCGAAAGACGGGUGAGAAUCCCGUCCACCGAUUGACUAAGGUUUCCAGAGGAAGGCUCGUCCGCUCUGGGUUAGUCGGGUCCUAAGCUGAGGCCGACAGGCGUAGGCGAUGGAUAACAGGUUGAUAUUCCUGUACCACCUAUAAUCGUUUUAAUCGAUGGGGGGACGCAGUAGGAUAGGCGAAGCGUGCGAUUGGAUUGCACGUCUAAGCAGUAAGGCUGAGUAUUAGGCAAAUCCGGUACUCGUUAAGGCUGAGCUGUGAUGGGGAGAAGACAUUGUGUCUUCGAGUCGUUGAUUUCACACUGCCGAGAAAAGCCUCUAGAUAGAAAAUAGGUGCCCGUACCGCAAACCGACACAGGUAGUCAAGAUGAGAAUUCUAAGGUGAGCGAGCGAACUCUCGUUAAGGAACUCGGCAAAAUGACCCCGUAACUUCGGGAGAAGGGGUGCUCUUUAGGGUUAACGCCCAGAAGAGCCGCAGUGAAUAGGCCCAAGCGACUGUUUAUCAAAAACACAGGUCUCUGCUAAACCGUAAGGUGAUGUAUAGGGGCUGACGCCUGCCCGGUGCUGGAAGGUUAAGAGGAGUGGUUAGCUUCUGCGAAGCUACGAAUCGAAGCCCCAGUAAACGGCGGCCGUAACUAUAACGGUCCUAAGGUAGCGAAAUUCCUUGUCGGGUAAGUUCCGACCCGCACGAAAGGCGUAACGAUUUGGGCACUGUCUCAACGAGAGACUCGGUGAAAUCAUAGUACCUGUGAAGAUGCAGGUUACCCGCGACAGGACGGAAAGACCCCGUGGAGCUUUACUGUAGCCUGAUAUUGAAAUUCGGCACAGCUUGUACAGGAUAGGUAGGAGCCUUUGAAACGUGAGCGCUAGCUUACGUGGAGGCGCUGGUGGGAUACUACCCUAGCUGUGUUGGCUUUCUAACCCGCACCACUUAUCGUGGUGGGAGACAGUGUCAAGCGGGCAGUUUGACUGGGGCGGUCGCCUCCUAAAAGGUAACGGAGGCGCUCAAAGGUUCCCUCAGAAUGGUUGGAAAUCAUUCAUAGAGUGUAAAGGCAUAAGGGAGCUUGACUGCGAGACCUACAAGUCGAGCAGGGUCGAAAGACGGACUUAGUGAUCCGGUGGUUCCGCAUGGAAGGGCCAUCGCUCAACGGAUAAAAGCUACCCCGGGGAUAACAGGCUUAUCUCCCCCAAGAGUUCACAUCGACGGGGAGGUUUGGCACCUCGAUGUCGGCUCAUCGCAUCCUGGGGCUGUAGUCGGUCCCAAGGGUUGGGCUGUUCGCCCAUUAAAGCGGUACGCGAGCUGGGUUCAGAACGUCGUGAGACAGUUCGGUCCCUAUCCGUCGUGGGCGUAGGAAAUUUGAGAGGAGCUGUCCUUAGUACGAGAGGACCGGGAUGGACAUACCUCUGGUGUACCAGUUGUCGUGCCAACGGCAUAGCUGGGUAGCUAUGUGUGGACGGGAUAAGUGCUGAAAGCAUCUAAGCAUGAAGCCCCCCUCAAGAUGAGAUUUCCCAACUUCGGUUAUAAGAUCCCUCAAAGAUGAUGAGGUUAAUAGGUUCGAGGUGGAAGCAUGGUGACAUGUGGAGCUGACGAAUACUAAUCGAUCGAAGACUUAAUCAA
rnacentral:rRNA from 66 species